AUGCUGAGAAUUGGUGAAGAGGGCCAGAACCUGAGGAUCUGCAUAUUGCCAUCACAGGCCAGUACAAGCUGGAAAGUCUUCAACCGACAGAGUGGAUACCUUUGGACAGAAUACAAAUAUUUCAAUAUGGCAGGGAAUACAGCUGUUUGGGCCUGGGAAAAGGGAAUCAGGAAGAUCAAGAGCCACAAAAAGUGCCAGGUGGGUCAUGUUAAAAAGGGGAAACCUCCAAAUAUUGCAGGUGCCAUCUUGAACAUAGUGCCAUCUUGUGGCACCAAGGCAAAUGCCAGAUUUUUCAGUCCCUCACCUCCCUUACUGGUAAUGUUCUAUGCCAGGGAUAGGCAAUUAUGGUCCUUGGGAUAUUUUGGGGGGGGGGGAUGCAACCAGAACUACUCAUACCUGUUACAGUAUAGAUAAAAAAUGAAAUCAAUAAAAUGAGAAAACCUAUUUGGACCAGGUCCAAAGACUGCUUGUUCUCCUCUUGUAAGCUUUUAGAGGGAACCUCAAGUGUAAUUAUCUCACUGUACAACUGCCAUCUUAGACAUCUUAUGGUUGUAGAGAGAUGAAAAAAACAUAGUAAAGCAUUUACUUAGAUCACCAAAUUAGGCAGUCAAUCUGCAAGUUUUUUGUAAUCUUUGUUGUUGCUAUGUGCCUUCAAGUAGUUUCCAACUUAUGACGACUAACUCUAUAAAGUGAACCUUCAAGGAUUUCCUGACUCAUGGUGACCUCAAGGUUUCAUGGUAUUUUCUUCACAAGGAUCAAGGAACUCUUACAACACCUAUGUGUUCCCUAUGUGAUUGAAAAUAUGACAUGGCUAUUUAUUCAUUUUGUAUCAAAACAUUGCAUAAAUAGGUAUAAAACUGAUAAAAAUAAAGGGAACACAAGCGGUUAUUUUUUUUUUACAAAAAACAGGCAACAGUGAUUGCAUUGUCUGUAGCUUUAAACAAUUUUUCCGCUAGGCAUGAGGCAGGGCAUUGUGGACAAGUAUACAGAUGCGGAUGUAGUGUCUCAGAGACCCCCAAGUCAUGACCCCAUCGCUAUUACGGAGCAGACUGAAGAUGGGGUUUCCGCCAUUUCCGCUUGAUUCCGUCCCUUUCCAGGUGCCUACUGUGGACAGUUCUAGCCCACAGUUCACAAGAAAGGGCCUUGGCUCUCAGCCCGGUUCUCCAGAGAAUGUUAGUUUUGACCGCCGAUUAUCUUGGGAGGCUUCACAUGUGGAAAAACAGGUUUUGAGAAGGAGCGCUCGUUUAGCAGAGAGAGCCAGCGUUAAUUAGGCUGGUUCCCUUGAGAGUUUUCAGGGAGGACUGCAUCUGGCAAAGUUGUUGACUUUGGUCAUUUUCCCUUGGGAAAGAGCUCGGACACCUGGCUGAGGAGGAGAGCAAAGUCCCAUAAAAGUUCUGGGCACCAAAUAGAUCUUGUGUUCAACGUGUCAGUUGAGGGAUUCACAUCGUCUCUAGUUCUGCAGCGCGUUACUCUAGAGUAGACCGGCUGCCUCUCAUCUUCCUGCCAAGCCUGGACAGUGAUUCAGCUUUACCACGAUUAACUUUGCCUUGCUUGCAUCCUAGCCUCGGAUUGAGCCCUGGAACUCUGGACAGAUCUUGCCUUAAUUCCCCACUCAAACAGCCUAAAGGUUUGAGUGUGUUUCGGUUAAUGGAUUUAAAACUUUGAACUCUAAUACUGGACAUCUGCUUCCAUAUUACUGGACUAUAUUUGACCUUUCCUGAAAGGUCUACUGCUGGACUAUAUACUCUGCUUAUUUUCUGUUGUCUCCUUUAUUUCCUUAAUAAAGAUAUUAGAUUGUUUAUUGGCCUUCAUGUUUGAUUCCCAGUGCUCACGCUGCCUGAGGUGUCACAGCGGAGUUGUUUUUCUGCUCCAGAGUCACACAAGAUGGAGGAUUCUUCUAGAUAGUGCCAUUUUGCCAGGUUGUCUUUUGAUCUGCCCACUCCACUUCUGAGUCUUUUCAGGGACAUCCAAGUUGCCCAUUCUUGGUUUGUGUAAUGCCUCAUGGGCCUUGUAGUCCUGCUCCCAGUGCCACCGUGGCUGAUGAAGAUGAAAACAUGGGGUUUUCGCCGGCUCAGCAAGAGACGGAAUUUUUCCAGAUGCCUGAUGUUGAUGUUUUUGCCCAAGAACCCAUUAAAACAGACCUUGAGCAGUUCUCACCCUCUUUUGUUAGGAGACAAUCCUAUACUGCAGGCAGGGGAGAGAAGGAGCAGGUUCGGAGGAGUUUGAGACUUGCAGCUAAACAAGACACUGAUUAGCCAUGUUCCCCUGGGAAAAUCUAGGGAGUCUCACAUCUGGAGAGAGCUGUGUUUCGUUUCCUGUUCCCUAGGGAAAGGGAGCGCUGGACACCUGCUUUGCAGGAAAACGAGACCUAGUUAAAUGUGCCUGGCACGGUAGGUUCCGUGCGAAGUCAACAGAGCAGCUUCAGGAGUGAUUUCGUGUUUCCAGCCUAGUGUGGACUUCACAAAGUCCGCAAACCCAGUCUCCUUGCUUUGCCUAUCCAAGUAUUCAAGAAUUGCCUUGCCUUGUUCCUAGUCACGGACCUUGUUCCUAGAAUCAAGUUUUGUUUCCAGCCUUGUUGUGGAUUUACCUUGGACCUUGAAAGAUCCUGGACAUUUCCCCACACUAUUGCUUGGCAAUAGUGUGUGUUUCGGUUUGUUGGAUUCUACUUUGAACUCUAAUAUCAUUUAUUGGACAAAACAUUUCUGGACUAUAUUUGACCUCAUCUGAUAGGUCUGCUUCUGGACCAUAUUUUCUACUUGUUUUUAUUAUUAUUAUAUAUUUCCUUAAUAAAGAUAUUAGAUAGUUAUUGGCCUCUGUGUUCGGUUCUUAGUGCUCCGUUGCCUCAGGCGUGACAGUUUGUCCCUGAAGACAGACCCUCAUGGGGGGCCAUCCUUUUGGGAUUUCCUGGUUUAGUUGCCCAGAGGGAUACUCAUGCCUUUGUGAAGGAACAUUAAGAGGAAUGGUGGCUCUCGUGGCUAUGAAUACAUAAGUCUAGGUUAUGCAUUGUUCUCUGAAAACAAAAAACAACAUGUGUUUUUCCGCUAUUGACCCUUUAGAUGUUUUGGACUUGGAUUCCUGGAAUCCCAUUGACCAUUCUAUAUAGGCUUCUGGGAACUGAAGUCCAAAGUAAUCUGCAAAAUAUAAACCAGAAUCAACACAUGUAUUGUGUGGCUACUUUUUGGGAAACAGACUAAUUCUGUACUUAUAAAACCUGAACUAUUCUUACUAUCUUGCCUAGAAGAAAGCCAAUCUAAAUCUAGGUUUUAACCAUCUAAAUGUGGCUCUCUGUCCCUGGUUCAUGUUAGCCUAUCUUCCUGAAGAUAUGGACAAAGGACCAGUAGAGCUAGGUGCCACCCUAGACGAAAAAUACUUCACUCCAGACUCUCAAAUGAAUACUUCCAGUAGAACAGAAGAGGUUUCUGUUUACAUUGGUGUUUCAUUGAUGUAGCGGCCUCCUGGUAGAUAUUAUAUUAUUUCCAGCAAUUGAAACAAAGGAAGAUGAAUUAGUCUUAAUUGGAGCUACUAAACUAGACAGGAAAAACAAUGAUGUAUAAUAAGUUGCAGAUGCAGAACAAUCAGUUUUAGGCCUGUAGGAGGUUUUUAGUCCUGAAGUUGCCCCUAGAUCUCCUUUACUUUCCCCGACACCAUAAGGAACCGAUUUUUUAAAAGCUAUGAAUGUAACAUCAUCAGAAGUGCAAUUUGAAUGUCUCACAUCAGCAUUAAUUCUAGUCUAGUCAAUUAUUCAAUAAAUGAAAACAUUGUGGUUCCUCGAGAAUGGUGUAUACUGUUGACUAAGCUUGAUUAAAACCUUCCACUUAAAAUAAGCAGACAUUCCCUCUCCUUUAUAUCUUUAAAACUGAACACUUAGCAUGACCUAAUAUGGGGAAGGGGACAUAUGCUGAAAUUGCAAGCUUGCUGGAAGUUUAUGGGGGUGGGCUUGAACGACCAAAGCCUUACUUAGUUUUGACAGAUAGAGAAAAGAGAGAUGAGGUCUGGUGCCAAUUUUUUUUACAGAGUUCUGUAUAAUCCAUGCUGUUACCAUCAUUAUGAAGAGAAGGAGGUAGAAAGAGUGUGUUGUAAAGCCAUACUUGUAUACACCUAACAGAGAGCAUAGCAAUUCCUCCCUCUAUUUUACACACUCGGGGCCUCAUCACAUGGAGGUCCUUGAUGCAGGGGACAAUGGGGGGAUCCGUAGGGCAGCAUGGCAAAUCUUGGGUCAGCAGGACAAGUCCAUCACUUAGCAUCCCACAUUGCCCAUCACAUGUUGGAAAGUGUACCUUUCCAGUGUGCUCUUGCACUGUCCUCAUGAUUUCUUAUCUGAACACAGGUAGUUUCCCAUGUUCAGAUUUCCCCCUCCUAGCACACUUCACUGAUGCAGCUGUCACCAAGCCCCCUGGAAGUAGAUGUGCAUCAUGUGAUGAGAGCUGGCAGGCUCCAUGCGAGCUGUGUGAGUGAAGUGUUCUAGGACAGGGAAUGGAGUGUGGAGUUGUUGCAAAAGAAAGUUAUAUGCUUCCUUUUGUUUCUCCUGGUUAACAAGCAUUGCAUAGAUGGAGGAUUUAGUGGAUCAACUAAAAACGGGCUCUUUCCCUACUUUGCUGCCAUUCCACAUUUCUACUAGACAGACAGACAGAGAGAUUUGUUUAUUGAUUAGUCCUCUGACAUAUCAACGGUAAAAGACAAAAGACAAGUAUACAAAGACACAAUAAGCACAAAUCCCUAUCCUAACAUUCCUGUAAUAAAAUACAUUUAAGCACUUAAACUUGAUUAAAUUAUAAGUUUGCUAACAUAGGAUUGGAUUAAAUUACA
rnacentral:lncRNA from 1 species